ACAGAGCCAGCUCCAUCCAAAAAAACAUUAUUCAAGGAUUAGACUGCCUUGGAAGUGGUUUCUGUGGGGAAGAGUGCCUAUAUCUGCAAAGCUUUACAGUGUUUCCAGGUAGGAGCAUGCUCAACAGUCCAACCAGUCUUCUGAAGCAGUGGGACACGUUCUGAAUCAUUGGCAGAAAGGCAACAGCUAAGGCAGCUCAAAACCAUCAAGACUCGCAAGCAGUAUGUACAGGUUGAAAAACAAUGUUCCUCAGAGCCUGGAUUCUGCUGGUUAAUGUCCAUGGAGCAGUCUGACGUACAGUGUUGUCUGAUGCGCUGGCACAAUACUACCCUUAGAGUAAACAGCUCUCUACUAAGGCCUACUCUACUAAGCUUCGCUUAGAGGCUUGAUUAUGUUCUUCACUUCUGCUAGGAAAGAAUGCUUCUGAAAAUAUCAGAGUUGCACUAAAUGAAACUGGGCUGUGUGAAAGGCAAUUGAACCCUGCACGGAGGAAGUCCCAGCCCAUUGCCUUACUGGUAUCACUAGAGCCUUAGACAAACGACAGCUCUUCUGGGACAGGCUGCCUGAAAACAUGAGUCUCAUGCCAGCAGGCCAAGGCCAAAAAUUUAGGUACCUUCUCUGUCUGUUAAAGGAGACAUAAUUUUCUCUUUCUCUUGCUCUUUCCCGCUUGUCUGUUUCUAUGACAGGGUUUUCAAGGAAAAAGUUCCUUUUGGCCUUGAGCACAACAGGUCCUUGUCUUUUCUUGGAAUAUAUAGGUACUAGUCAGGCCUGAAUAAUUACAUAUAGACCAUACAGAAGUCCACAGCACUCUAUUCUCUAAGAAAAAACAGCAAGUUCUCAUCAGAUGUAUUGCUCACCCACUUUAGUCCAUAUACUGUCAUGGAUGCCUGGAAGCAAAAUUGCAACCAAGAAAGCUGAAGGAAAGCCACAUAGUUUGGACAUACUCUUGAACUAGUGUAAAGUCUUAAUACAGUUUUGUUUAUCCCAUUACAGUGAUCUACCUCAGCUAUGAGUUUGAUCCUAUAACCAAGCAGUUUUCCAAUAAAUAACCUGGACCUCCUUAGGAAAAAAUACUAAUUGCUCUAGUCUGAAAACCAAUACCUUUAUUUUAAUACAUUUCUCUCUUGAGACACUUGGAUCCACAAUUUUUUUUCUUGUUAAUUGAGGGAGAAGAGAUGAAAGCAGGAAUGCUUGCCUUUUUGUUGCACAGAUCUGUCUAUCCCUUGCUGGUGGAAAAUACGGGGUGUGUCUGCUUUUCAGAAGUUCUAGAAAACCGUGGCUCCAUCUCUGCCCCUGUGGAUGCUCCUGUGUGUCCUACCCAUGACGAUAGGCUGGUGCCUGACUCAUACAAUUAUCUGAUCAGAAGACCUUCUGCAGCCACGAAGCCUUAGGCUGCAACCCUGUCAGCUCUCAUGAGCUAAGAAAGGCUGCUGUUCCAGGAGUUGCUUAUUUGCAGCUUCAGAUGAGCUGCUAUGCAGUUGAUUAACUGAGUGACCCAAAUCCAUCUGUCAGGGAGCUUAACAGCCAGAGCCAGCUACAACAAGGAACCAGUACAACGAUGGACGAAAACUGGUGACAGAGAUUUACUGCAGUAAGUGAGGCUGGUGCUAACUAAAACUUGUUUUCUAUCCCUGGGGUUCGUGUGGUCCAAUAGCAGGAGAAACAGAGAUGCCUAGAAGGCCUGCACUUCUCAUAGCACUGUCCAGCAACAGAGGAUGUCCUGAAUGAAUAAUAAGAGAAAAAAGGGGCUACAAUUCAAUACGUGUUGAAUUCACAGCUAAAUGGCAAAAGAGAAGCAGCGGGAAUCUACCUGUUUCUUCUCAAAAAGGAAUGUAACUUGCCUUUUUAGUUGAAAGCACAGAGGGAGUUUUUGUUUGCACCCAAAGGGAAACAUUCAUAAAGAUGGGGAAGUGUUUUGACCCAUUUAAUCAUGUGACAGUGGCAUUCAUGUGAGGAGCAAUAGCUCUUCAUCUCAAAAAUUUCCUCCCCAGGGGUCCAUGACCCAGGAAGGAAAUGUCCUCUGAAACGCUUUCCAUUUCUAGAGAUGCCAACCUAAAAGCUGUGCAAGGAUAACCUGAUUUCCCGAUCAUUUCUGUUAGGCUGUCAGGAGUACUCUUACCCUUCAGAACUUUUAUAUAUGCUUUUCAUUAGUUCAAGAACACUUCUGCUAGAGCUGGAGAAACUAUGAUUUUUUUUUUUUUUCACCCAUAACCUAUUGCUAAGCCUUAGUGAAUCCAUCACAAACAUAUGGAAAGUUUGGGGUUGCCUUUUUUUUUUCCCCCACCCAAUAUACCUCCUAUAUCUUAUUAAUAU